rnacentral:rRNA from 1 species
UACGUAGGGCGCAAGCGUUGUCCGGAAUUAUUGGGCGUAAAGAGCUCGUAGGUGGCGUGUCGCGUCUGCCGUGAAAGCCCAUGGCUUAACUGUGGGUCUGCGGUGGAUACGGGCAGGCUGGAGGCUGGUAGGGGCAAGCGGAAUUCCUGGUGUAGAGGUGAAAUUCGUAGAUAUCGGGAGGAACACCAGUGGCGAAGGCGGCGACCUGGGCCAAUAUUGACGCUGAGGUGCGAAAGCGUGGGGAGCAAACAGG